GCAGGGCACUCCUACGGGGGCAGCAGUGGGGAAUAUUGCACAAUGGGCGCAAGCCUGAUGCAGCCAUGCCGCGUGUAUGAAGAAGGCCUUCGGGUUGUAAAGUACUUUCAGCAGUGAGGAAGGUGGGUAUGUUAAUAGCAUACUCAUUUGACGUUAGCUGCAGAAGAAGCACCGGCUAACUCCGUGCCAGCAGCCGCGGUAAUACGGAGGGUGCGAGCGUUAAUCGGAAUUACUGGGCGUAAAGCGCAUGCAGGUGGUUUGUUAAGUCAGAUGUGAAAGCCCGGGGCUCAACCUCGGAAUUGCAUUUGAAACUGGCAAACUAGAGUACUGUAGAGGGGGUAGAAUUUCAGGUGUAGCGGUGAAAUGCGUAGAGAUCUGAAGGAAUACCGGUGGCGAAGGCGGCCCCCUGGACAGAUACUGACACUCAGAUGCGAAAGCGUGGGGAGCAAACAGGAUUAGAUACCCUGGUG
rnacentral:rRNA from 1 species